rnacentral:rRNA from 1 species
CCUACGGGGGGCAGCAGUGGGGAAUAUUGCACAAUGGGCGCAAGCCUGAUGCAGCCAUGCCGCGUGUGUGAAGAAGGCCUUCGGGUUGUAAAGCACUUUCAGCGGGGAGGAAGGCGUUAAGGUUAAUAACCUUGGCGAUUGACGUUACCCGCAGAAGAAGCACCGGCUAACUCCGUGCCAGCAGCCGCGGUAAUACGGAGGGUGCAAGCGUUAAUCGGAAUUACUGGGCGUAAAGCGCACGCAGGCGGUCUGUCAAGUCGGAUGUGAAAUCCCCGGGCUCAACCUGGGAACUGCAUUCGAAAAUGGCAAGGUUGAGACCUGGAGAGGGGGGUAGAAUUCCAGGUGUAGCGGUGAAAUGCGUAGAGAUCUGGAGGAAUACCGGUGGCGAAGGCGGCCCCCUGGACAAAGACUGACGCUCAGGUGCGAAAGCGUGGGGAGCAAACAGGAUUAGAUACCCGGGUAGUC